CGCCGGCACCACUACUAUUACUACUACUACUAUUCUACUAAUACUACCACUACUACUAUCGGCUACGCAACUAGGCAGACUACUACCAGCCGCCAUCGCACACCACCAACAUCACGACCUUCCUCUACACUCGCCGUAACACCAUCGCGACCGGUUACCAUCACCAUCAUCCGAAUGUCGUGAACGACGAGGACGAUGACGGCGACGGCGGAGCGGCACGACACAAGCGCUCCGAUGCAUUACCGUUCUCUUAGAGUGCAUGCAUGCAUGUAUGCAUACGUGCGCAUGUGCGUAUGUGCGUUGCACGUGCACAUAGACGCGCGUCCUUAGCGGCGUCCACCGUGAGCCACGAAACGCCAAGCCGCGUCGUGCCCGUCAUCGACGUCGCCGUCGCCGUCGUCGUCGUUCUCUUCGUCGUCAUCAUCGUUGUCGGUCCAAUUGCACAUUUUACGUGCGCGCCCGACCGCUGAUACUGCCUUCUUCUCCCUUCUUUCUUCUAUCUCCCUCUCUCUCGGUCCCUCUCUUCCUCCGUACCUGCGACGGUGUACGCCGGGUACAGAGCACCACAAAAGUUUCGACUUCCUUCGCCGAAGUUUCGGAAAGACGGAGGGAAGAUAAAGGCGCGCCGAGUCGACCGACUGCCGUUUAGGCGAUCCUAAAGCGUCGCUUUCUUGCGCGGAAUGUGCGAGAAGAAGAUCGGAAUAAGUUUGUUUUCAGGGGGAUUUUCUAUCUUGAUGUGCAACUGCGCUAGCGAAGAGGGAAGUGCGCCAAAUUUUCAUUGAUAUUCGUCAAAUCGAAUAUCAGCUAACUGCACCAUCGACCGACCUUGGGUCAAUCAAAGUGGAAAACAUGCCCGUAUGACGUAAUGGAUAUCGAGUGCGUGCUGUCACCGAUCGAAUGUAGCAGGACGAUUGACAGCGACGAUUGUUUCUCAUCCACAUGGCCGGGGUUCUACAUUGGAAAAUGCACAGGCUGCUUCUCGAACUGUACCAUCGGGCUUGCACAAAGAGCGGCCCGAGCACACUCCAAUGAUUUCUGAAAAACGAUUCGCGCGUAACGGGCCGCACGUCUCUCACUCGACGACGCUUCACGCUUCACGCUUGGCCUUCACGCUGAAGCUGAUGACGUCAUACCCUUCUAAACAGGAGGGGCCCGGGCGGCUAAACAUGGCCGUGGAUUUAGGCAGCCAAUCGUGGUACGCCAACGAGGAUCCCCUUUCUAAGCGGCCUAGCUACUCUUCGUGGGAACAUAUCGACGCAUUUCGACGGAGUGGGUGACGCAAAAUGGCUACUUUCGAUGACACCGGCUUCGUCCCUCCGAACGCUCAUUACGAAUCUAUAAUUAAACGCAAAAUUAAUGAUUCGCGUUCAUUAAACCCUAUUAUUCGAAACA
rnacentral:lncRNA from 1 species